rnacentral:sRNA from 2 species
GACAUGGAUGGCUAGGGUUCCUGCUCACGCUUGCAGUGAGUGCACGGUCCAAGAGCCACCCGCCGCGCUGCCUGCAGGCUUGUAGGACCAUCAGCGCGGUACACGGCGGGAUAAAAGCCCGGGAGAU